rnacentral:rRNA from 1 species
GCGGUAUUUUGACCGUGCAAAGGUAGCAUAAUCAUUUGCUUCGUAAUUGGGGGCUAGUAUGAAUGGGAUUACAAAAGAUUUGCUUUAUUUUUAGGAUGUUUGUAAUUUGCUUUUCUAGUGAAGAAGCUUGGAUUUUUCUAUAGGACAAGAAGACCCUUUUGAGUUUUACUUUUUUUAUUUUUUUUUAAAUUUUGAAAGUUUGGUUGGGGCGACCAAGGAAGGUUGAUCUUCCUUUUUUAUUUUGAUCCAUAGUUUUUGAUUGAAAGAUUAAAUUACCAAAGGGAUAACAGCGUUAUUUUUUUUGAGAGUUCUUAUUGAAAAUUAAGAUUGCCACCUCGAUGUUGACUUAUAGUUUCCUUUUGGUGUAGCCGCUUUUAGGGUAGGUCUGUUCGACCUUUCAAACUUU